CUACAGGGAAGUAAACAAAUUUGUGCACCAAAUUUAAGGGAAAUGUGUGUGGCCCACUGACACAAACUCACGCUUUAAUGUGGAACAACACUUUCUCUCUUCUUUCAGAGAGCAACAAAGGAAAUAACAUUAAAGGGCCUUUUGUGCUCAGAUUUGAUCGUUUUUCUAGGUGGAGAAAACAUCUUGUUCCCUAUCCCUGCACUAGUAGUUAAUCUCUGUCGUUUACAGUGGGAGCAAAUGAGGCAGAGUGGGCAGAACAAGCAACGAGACAGAGGGGCAAAUUCCUGUGGUUGCUGUAUAGACAUGACAGACAUCAUCAUAAAACUUCUGAAACGAGCCAGAGGGUGAAGUGGAGAGACCUUUCUAGAACACGAUUCAACAACCGAUUUACCAGGCUUUUUUAAAGUCAAAUUUGUCUGAAUUAUAAAUUUAACCUGUGUUUUGUUUGAUUUCCUUUAGUUUGAAUCUUUAGUCUUUACUUCUUUUUCAGUCGCUAGUCUUUAUCUGUUUUGCAUUUCAUCUGUUUUGUCUGCCAUUUAGAAUUUGUACAAUGCAGAGUAUUUUGGAACACUUUUGUAUGCUGUCCAAUUAAAUGGUGUGUCCUGUAAAUCUCUUUGGUGUAGUCCUAGUCGCCCCUGCCAUGUUCCAUCAAGCUGACGAGAGUUUGUUUCCUGUCAUACUAUUUUAGUCCCCUGUCAGAGAAAUGUGCCUCUUUAUAUUUUGAGAGGAGUGAUAUUCACCCAGUGCCUUUAUCAGGUUCUCUGUUAUAAAGAUGUAGUAUUAAUGAAAUGCUGGAGAGCCCUCCAAAUUAAAAUCGGAACCUCAAAGCUAGUUCCUGUCUAAUCAGGGACUGGUUUAAACAUGGGACACCAGGUGGGUGCAAUUAAUUAUCGGGCACAAUAGCCAGCAGUCCUCCUCAUACGGUAAGCUUUGAAUACCCCUGGCCUAGAGCCUUGUCUAUCUCAGGCCUCCAUCUUCUUUCCCCAACAGUUUGUCACGGUGGUCAGAGCUUCAGGCUGAAUGCUUCAGACUGUUCACUAAGCAUUGGCCUGCCGCCAAGACUUCUCCCAAAUUCCUCACCUCUUCACGCUACUACAUACAUUAUUCGCGUGUCGAGAUGUUAUCUCGCUCAUCUUUUAUCACAGGGUUUUCAGAAGCCAUGACACUUGACAUGUGUGGUAUGUGUUCACUUUCCUAUCAAAUUGCUCAAGAAGACACUUAUCUGGUAGUGAUCUUAUAGAGCCCUUUAGGUGGUCUGCUGUAGGGAUGUUACGUUUCUACAUUGUUAUAAUCAGGUUCAUUAUGAGAAUAACAUUGAGGAAAAAAUGCACUGUAAUUAUACUAAUGGACAGAUGCAUCAAGUUUCUGUUUUUAAUGCUAUGCCUGCUCAUCCUCAUGCAUAAUUAUAUUUUAUUGGUUGACAUUAAAGCCAGUGCAGAAAACCAACAAUCUAAGGCCCAAUCUAAGCAGACAUCUCACUCAUUUGUUCUAGUCAAUGAACUAAGUAGACCAGACCCGGCUGCUAUUAUGUUGGUGUCUU